CAAGAUCAAAGAAUAUUACCUGUCAUUAUUUAUGUGUUAAAUUAACAGUCUGCAAAAGCAAAGUGGCUAUCAGGAAUCAUUAGCUGAGUGGAUAACGCGAUGGUGUUUGAAGCGAAAGGUACUGAGUUCGAGUCCCAGAGUGAACACCAACUCUGAGAUGCAGGUACAUCCAGCUGAAGAGUCCCAAAUAGGACGAAACGCGCGUCCUGGAUUCCACUGCUAGCCACUAUCCAUCUUUGUUUACUGAUUAGUUUAGUCAAUCUACAAACAUGACACCAUAAUACACAACAAUUAGAAUAUUUUAUGUAAUGUAAAUAUUAAUAUCCAUAAAAACAAUAAAUAAUUUACCUUUACUGACUAAAUGUAACUGAGCUAAUUAAUCUUAUUGACUUUAUCCUGAUUAGUUUAUUAUGUAAUAUGAGAUGNNN
rnacentral:tRNA from 1 species